CAAAAGGGUAUUAACCACUGCUUCAGAGAGGCCUAAGUGAUGUAGUCUUUCCUUUUUAAGAUUCAUACCCACAAGCUUGAGGUGUUCUGAAUGGGGAUGGGAGAUUGGACCUUGACUCAGCAGAUCUUUCAUUAUUGGGAGAAGCAGAGGUCGUUCCUGACUCAACUUGAUUAAGAGAGGAAACCAUGGCCUCUUGGCCAGACAGGGAUAAUAGCAACGACUUUUUUUGCCUUCUGUCCAAAACCUUUUGCAGAAAUCUGGG